AAUUAAGUGAUGCCACUGCUGCUCAUGAGGAUUAUUUGCUGAAGAUCAGGUUUGUUGUUUCCCUGUCUACAAAGACCAAGAGUGAACCUUUUUGCUUACUUUCCCAGCUUUACAGGUGUACCUUCCACUUCUCUAUCAAUGAAACAGGCACAAUCUCGUAUCUGCUCUGUCUACAUAACACUGCCAGGUAACCCCUGAUAAAGACCCGGCGGAGGACACAGUACGCUAAGCAUUCCAACGCACAGAUGAGAUGACAAACGCAAUGAAAUUAGCCAUUUUCUACUCAGUUCAGGACAACUGACAUUGACAACUACAAUGCUACACAGUACUUAGUAUCCAUCGUUGCGUUGAGGCCUGAGGGAAGUGGAGAAUGCAUUGCAUUUAAAAGAUUACUAGUUUAAGGUUUGACCGCCUACUCGGAUUCAAAAUAUGGAACUCAACAAAGCGAGAGAGAAACGACGCACACGCAUUCAGAAACACGAAACCUACGGCACUUGAGGUUCUUCUUCGCCACUAACUGAAAGAUGCAAAGGGUUAGCUAGUCGCUGCACUGCUGAAGCCCUGGGAAACUAACACGAGAAGCACAGGCCAGAAAUCAGGUGCGGCGGUUCGCCCAGAAACCUUCUUCUGGAGUUCCCGUUCCCGACAAGCCGUGCAUUAUCUGAUAUAAGAGACGGAUAAUACGAGCAGGGCAGAGCAAGCUUACCUCACACACGCAGGUUCGCGGGCAAUGGGACCGAUUCUCCGGUGCAGGCGCGAGGCGGCGAGGGAUGCGUGCGGAAGAAAUGGAGAGGUCACGGCGGCUUGUGAAUUGGGAUGGGAUACGGAUUAGGGUGGAAAUUGAAGCGCGGAGGCCGGCUCUAUCGGCUUUCUUCUGCAGCUCCUGAUUCUUCGCUUAUUUCUAACUUAAGUCUGUAAAC
rnacentral:lncRNA from 1 species